rnacentral:misc_RNA from 1 species
UUCGGUAACGCAGCUAACGCGUGAAGUCGACCGCCUGGGGAGUACGGUCGCAAGAUUAAAACUCAAAGGAAUUGACGGGGACCCGCACAAGCGGUGGAUGAUGUGGAUUAAUUCGAUGCAACGCGAAAAACCUUACCUACCCUUGACAUGUCAGGAAGUUGCCAGAGAUGGCUUCGUGCUCGAAAGAGAACCUGAACACAGGUGCUGCAUGGCUGUCGUCAGCUCGUGUCGUGAGAUGUUGGGUUAAGUCCCGCAACGAGCGCAACCCUUAUCAUUAGUUGCUACGCAAGGGCACUCUAAUGAGACUGCCGGUGACAAACCGGAGGAAGGUGGGGAUGACGUUCUCUACG